GUUUAUUGCCUAGUGCCUGAGUAUAUAACGCCUACAGAGACACCUAGAGGAGUAUUUUGGAACUGCAGAUUAGGAGCACAGAGAAUCACGUGGUUAAGAACUUCAUGCCUUAACUAUACUCUUGUAUGUUUUUAUUACUCUGUGAUCUAUUGUCUCGCACUGUGUCUCCUGUUCGGUUGUGUGUGUUUAUUACUGAGGGAUUCUGUCACCUCCUCACUCUCACUGUGUCUCCUGUCCUGUUGCAUGUGUUUAUUACUGAGGAAUUCUCUGUCCUCUCCUGUCUCUCACUGUCUCCUGUCCUGCUGUGUGUUUAUUACUGAGGGAGUCUCUGUGAUCUCCUCUCUCUCUCACUGUGUCUCCUGUCCUGUUGUGUGUGUUUAUUACUGAGGGAGUCUCUGUGAUCUCCUCUCUCUCUCACUGUGUUUGUGUGUGUUUAUUACUGAGGAAUCCUCUCUGAAUAUUCUGUAUGAACAAUAAAUUUCAUAAUAA
rnacentral:lncRNA from 1 species